AUGACUCAUGUUACCGUUACUACUAACAGCUCACACGAGGUUAUUGCUGGCCUAUGCAAGCCUCGACCCUACACCCCUAGCCCCUGGGGCGACUUCUUCCUCAACCACAACCCAUGUACUCAAUCUCAGUAUUUGGCUAUGAAGGACAUGGCAAGUAUCAAGAAGGAGCGAGUGAGAAAGAUCAUCUUGGACGCCGGAUCUUCUUCUGAUUUAGCUAUGAAGAUUGAGCUUGUUGACACGUUGGAGCGUACUGGUGUGGCUUAUCACUAUGGCCAGGAGAUUGAAGAGUUACUUCAUGGCAUGCAUAGUGAAGAAAAUGUGUUUGGUGACAACCUAUGUGUAACAGCGAUGCGGUUCUACUUGCUAAGGAAGCAUGGGUACAACAUCUCUCCUGAUGUAUUUUUGAAGUUCAAAGAUGACCAAGGAAACUUUGCAAGCAAUGAUGUGAACUCGUUGUUGGCAUUGUACAAUGCACCGUAUCUUAGGAUUCAUGGAGAAGAAAUGCUUGAUGAUGAUGUGACUUUCACCAAGACUCAACUACAAUCUAUGGUGGAGCAUCUUGAACCACGGUUGGCAGAAGAGGUCUUGUGUACAUUGGAAACCCCGCAUUUUAGAAGAGUCGAGAGAGUCGAAACGAGACGUUACAUUGCAGUUUAUGAGAAGAAGGCCACACGAGAUGAGGACAUACUGGAAUUUGCUAAGUUUGACUUCAAUAUUUUGCAAACUCUAUAUUGCGAGGAGUUGAAAGCUCUUACGAUUUGGUGGAAAGACUUGAAAUCACAGGCAAAUCCACAAUUUGCACGAGAUAGAAUCGUGGAGGUUCAUUUUUGGAUACUUGGAGUUCUCUACGAGCCGCAAUAUUCUUAUCCGCGUAUAAUGCUAACAAAACUAGUCUUAUUUAUGUCAUUGCUUGAUGACCUCUAUGAUAAUUAUAGCACCACAGAAGAAAGUAACAUCUUCACUGCGGCCAUGCAAAGGUGGGAUGCACAUGUUGUGGAGCAAUUACCAGCAUACUUGAAGGCAUACAUCAACAUACUUAAGACCACAAAUGAUAUAGAGGAAGUAUUGAAGUGUCAGGAAAACAAGAAUGCUGAAUUCGUCAAAAAAUUGAUGAUCGAUGUUGUCAAAUGCUAUCAUGCGGAAGUCAAUUGGCGCGAUGAACACUAUGUACCGACUACAGUUGAGGAGCAUUUGCAACUUUCAAUGGCCAGCAGUGCUUGUAUGCAUAUAACAAGCCUUGUAUUCAUCUCACUUGGUGAUGUGACAACAAAGGAUAAUCUUGAGUGGGCCUUUUCCUAUCCAAAAUUUAUCAGAGGUGUAUGUAUUGUUGGGCGCAUUGGUAAUGACAUGGUUUCGCAUGAGCGCGAACAAGGAUCGAACCAUAUGGUAUCCACGGUGCAAACUUGCACAAUAGAGCAUGGUAUCACGGUAGUAGAAGCCAAUGAGAAGCUCAAGGUGAUAAUUGAGGAAGCAUGGAUGGACAUAGUCCACGAACGCCUCCUCAAAAAACAUUCAAUGGUGCUUCUAGAGAAGGCAACAAAUCUUGCCCGGACAAUGGAUUUUAUGUACAAGCGUGAAGAUGAGUACACCCUAUCAUUUAGUCUCAAAAAGACCUUAACUUCACUUUAUGUUAACUUCAUAUGA
rnacentral:rRNA from 1 species